rfam:Oceanobacillus oncorhynchi strain Oc5 genome assembly, contig: CONTIG000001
UAACUGAACAUGCGAAUGUUCACUGAACUAUCAGAAGUCAGCCGGGGGCCGUAGUACAAGAUGCUUCUAUAAUAUCUGGGAAGGCU